GGGGAAGACACUUGCUUUUUAUUAUGUAGCAUCAUUGCCGAGACUUUGGUGAUAUUUUUUGGUGAUAAGUGUAUUCAUGAAGAAUUGUUCUUACAUCUAAGGAGAAUGCCCCUCGAGUUCACGUUUGUUAUCGUUGCAUGGUUCUACAUGAAUUCAAUCAUGUCAAUCCUGAAGAUUACAAUGAAGUUAAAGACUUUGCAACAGCUUGAGUACCUUUGAAAGUAUACCUUAAUUUAUUGGCUAGUGGAUUGGUUUGUGUACUCAUGCUCUGUUCACUAUUAGGGUCUUUUAGCAGCAGUUAUUGAAGCAUAUAAUAUACUCCCGCAUUUGGGUGUUAUGAAGACACCAAGUUUUAAUAAACUUACUUCAGCUGGUUUCAAAGUCAAAAUCUGGAUAGCGGAUUGGUUUGAUUUCUUAAAAAGACAAAAAGGAUGCGGAUUUGGAAAAGAGACAAACCGUUGGGCGUUACCUCAUUGAGAUAUGGAAAUCAGCCAGGAUGAUUGGUAGGUAUUAAGCCAAUGGUGUGGUUUUUCACCAUUCUUUGCAUUUAAUCUCAAAGAUCUCUUGGGUUUGCAUAAGUAUUUCAAUGGAUGU